GUAUCGAAAAUUGAAUUUCACAUUAAUAGAGUCCAUCCGGACUGUGUGGGUUUUUCACAAACGUUCGUAAUUUAUCCCCAGCUGAACUUGGCCUUAGCUAAGUGUACUGCAUUCCUCGUGUUCAACUAGAAAGGCGCCGUACUACACACAUUUUGGGGAAGGGAAAGGCAAGUAAUUCAUCCAAUCACAACGCGUGGUUACAGCUACGGUACAGUACGCUACGAAUUCCCCCGGUAUGGUUUCCAAAUCAUUUGAAAAUCGCUGUACGGAAGAGCUACAGUUCCGGAUCACGAAUUCUACCGACAUCUUCUCUAUUUAUGUUGCAUAUCACGAUCUUCGAAAACGUAUACUGAUUGAACAAUAACUAGUUUAGCAAACGUUGGCAACACAAGUCAAAUCACAAAUCAAAAAGGCAUUCAUUUUAUGAUACCUUGGCUAAUUAAAAACGAAGUUAAUUAAC